AGAAAGCAAACAUGUAGCUCUGACAGACGAACAUUUGGAGAUCCAGAAGGACCACAGACAUGCACCGAUGCUUUAAUUGCAGAUUUGCGAGGAUCGGUCACAAAAAAGAAACGAACAAAAACUAGAAGAAUUCGUGUCCGUUCAUCAUCUUCCUGCAAAAAUGAAAGACAGCACAACACAUUAGGUAUUUCAACUUUAAUUUCCUAUUCUUUUUCUGAAUAACAUUAUGAUUGUUAUAGAGAAAGCAAUUCUACCAUGCAAUCUGACUUAUUACCUGAAUUGAUUGAUUUGAUGUUGCAUGUGUAGACAAAUGGAAAAACAUACGGACUGAGGACGAUUUAAUAGAGCUAUUUAGAUUCCUGAACAUCGAUGGAGAGAUGCAGAAUAUGCUUGUUCCUUAUAACCAAAAUGGCACCAUUGUUCCACACGAAGAAGAAGAAGAAGAAGAAGAAGAAGAAAAGAAAAAACGACCUAAAGUUGAUCUUGAUGGGGAGACUGAGAGAAUCUGGAACCUUUUACUUGUCGAUAUCAACAGUAGUGGGAUUGAUGGAAGUGAUCCCGAUACGGUCAAAUGGUGGAAAGAAGAACGAGAAGUGUUCCGUGGACGAGCAGACUCAUUCAUUGCAAGGAUGCAUCUGGUACAAGGUAUGAAUUAUACAUUUUCAUGAAAAUCUAAGCACUAUUCACACAACAGACAAAUAUCCCCUUUAUUUGUGCUUGAGGUGGAAAAAGUGAGAACACCAUAGACUAGGAAGAUAGCAACACACACACACAUAUAUAUGAACACACCAAGCACUAUACAGAAAACCAAGUAGGAUUCAAAGGAACUCUAAGAAAUUCAAAUGAGAACAGUAAUAAUAUUAAUAAAUAAUUUGGAUUUGUCAAGAUUAGCACUACUCACACAACUGACAAAUUUCUACAAUGAAGAAAAAAAGAGAUUAGCUUAUGUAGUUAAAAAACCAGAUUUUGAAAAGAUUAGCCAUGAAAAAGCUUCUAUAAAUUAGUGUGCGUAAAAAGCUUAUUUAUAAUUUCUUCUAAAAAUGUUUUAAACUAAGUUUAACCACAAAGAACAUUUAUAAAAAAAAGGCAAGUCAAAGUAGGACACUCAAUGAAGUACUAUUUCCUACAACACAGCGGACAAUUUUAAUCAAGUGCUAAAGCAAAAAUACAUCACACUAAAUAAAGAAAUUCUUUCCUCUGAAGUUGCAGUUAAUCGGCAAGUUAUCAAAAACAAAAUAUUCACAAGUAAACUCAUUCAUUCUGCAUAUUCAGUAACACAGUUCCAGGACUAAUAUUAUAACACAAACAACAGGAGACAGGCGCUUUUCGAUGUGGAAGGGAUCUGUUGUGGAUUCUGUUGUCGGAGUUUUCCUCACUCAAAAUGUUUCAGACCAUCUUUCCAGGUAUAAAUCAUGCAAGCUUAAUUACUGAGAAAUAUACAAUUAAAACAAACAACACGUUUAUUUUUCCCCUUGUUGGCAGUUCUGCAUUCAUGUCCCUCGCUGCUCGAUAUCCUCUGAAGUCAACCAGUACAUUCCAGAAGGAAAGCACAUGUUCGAUGGUCAAUGAACCACAAGUGUGCAUUGUGGAGGAGCCAGUAGAAAAUGGAAAUCGGGAUAGGAAAAUAUUGGAUCAAUCCAUUUGUGAAAUGAAUUCUAAGACAAUGGACAUCAUCGAAAAUUAUGAAGAAAGAGAAGGUGUAGACAGCAAUGUUUCCUGCAGAACUAAUGGCAGCGUAAUUUGUGUAGCAGAUGAAUCAAACAGCAACAUGUUGGAAUCGGAAUCGGCUCAAAGACGUGGCAGUGAACAUAGCCCAGUGGAAAGUGGAACAAUUAGUGGUAUGACUGAGGAAGGGCAAGAAAGUUUAUGUCAUGUGAGUGUUAGGAAAGAGUUAAAUAAUGUAUUUCCAUCCCAAUUAUCUGGUGCUACAUUUCAAACAUCAGGAGAUUUUUCAAUUGAUCAAAAUACUGAAAAGAUAGGAUCAUUCUCAGAUAGCAACUCAGAAAUAGAAGACCUGCCAAGCACAGCCCAGUUCAAUAUUUAUCAUAGCGGGACUUCAUUCAGAGAACUUUUAGAAAUGGCAAGUUCAACCAUGUUGCAUGAAGUUAAUAGUCAAAGAGACAAAUCAACUGAGAACUUUAGAGACGCAUGUGAUCAGUCCAUAGACUUGAACCAUGACAACCAAGUAGGAAACUUGGAAAAAUCAGAUGUUACUCUUACUCGAGACACUUUUGAAACACCCAUCACCAAGGAAUAUGCUUUGGAAGCAACCCCAAACUCGGGAGUGCUUGAAGUUAACUGCUAUGAUCCUCUAAAAAUAGAAGUCCCAUCAAGUGAUUCCUCAAAGAAUAAAGGUGAGAAUGAUAAGAGGCAUAGUUUUCGAACAGAUUCCAACUCCAAAGCUGCAUUUGUCAAUUCUCAUGGUAUGAUAUCUCAACUUCAUUCCUUGCAAGAAAUUAACCAUGAACAGCAUAAUGUUUUUAUCAUUUCAGGACAAACUCAGGAUCCCAUGCAGAAAGCAAGAGAUCAAAAAUUUGGUGAUCACAAGAAUGAAAAGAAGAAAAAAAACAGCAAAAAAAAUAGUAAGAAGGAACCUGCCCCAAAGAAAGCUGCCCCAAAAAAAGCUGCCCCAAAGAAAGCUGCCCCAAAAAAGGCUGCCCCAAAAAAAGCUGCCCCAAAAAAACUAAAAAGCGAGAAAGAGGAAAAUAACUUUGAUUGGGAUAGUUUAAGAAUACAAGCACAGGCUCGGGCAGGGAAGAGAGAAAAGACCGAAAACACCAUGGACUCUGCGGACUGGGAUGCUGUAAGACGUGCAGAUCUCAGUGAAAUUUCCAAAAUAAUCAGAGAAAGGGGCAUGAACAACCUGCUGGCUGAUCGUAUUAAGGUAGAAUCCAAGAUUGUGAAGUGCAUUUGUCAGCAUUUAUCAGAAAGAGAAAAACUUAAAAACAGAUUAUGUCAAAUGAAUUACUAUGCAGGGUUUCCUCAAUAGAAUGUUUGACAAGCACGGGAGCCUUGAUCUGGAGUGGCUGAGAGAUGUUCCACCUGACCAAGCAAAGUAAGUCUAGAUAUUAUCAAACUACUUUGAAAUCAUAUUUCCGUGUUGGUAGGGUUGGCAAAACCAACAUACGAGCCCCUCUAUUCACUAGCAACACAUGUCAUGCACACUCACAUGCAAGCACAAAAAAUGCAUAAUGUUAAUUCAAUUUAUACGUCCAGAGAAUUCUUGCUCAGCAUAAAGGGAUUGGGAUUGAAAAGUGUGGAGUGCGUUCGACUCUUAACACUACACCAUCUUGCUUUCCCGGUAAGUUGAGAACAUUAAUCCAAAAUUAGAGGAUUAAGAAAUAUAUUUUGACAGUUUGUUGCCUAAAUAGGUGGACACAAAUGUUGGACGCAUAGCAGUACGUUUGGGAUGGGUACCUCUCCGGCCACUGCCAGAGUCACUACAGUUGCAUCUUCUAGAACUGUGAGUUCCACAAUAAUAAAUAGCAAGAUGCAGUUAUUCAGUCAGUAAAAAAAAGAGCUAACCUGACAUCAUUGUCCUGUAUAGGUACCCAGUGUUGGAGUCUGUACAAAAAUAUCUCUGGCCUCGACUCUGCAAGCUAGACCAAAGAACAUUGUAAUGAUUAUUUUCAAUUGGAAGUUAUACAUUAAAUUAUAUAAGUAGCUUCUAGUUGCUGAUUUAAUUUUUGAACAAUGGCCAACAUAAACAUGUAUUUAGUAUCAUGAGAUCAUGCUUAGACGCAUCAUGUCAUACUCACCUAAUUAUCUUGCAUUUCAUAAUUAGAUGAUAGCGUUAAAAUGUUCUCCAUCAUAAUUAAACUCUCAUUGAUUUCUUUAAUGUUUUGUUGCUCUUUACUGAAGGUAUGAGCUGCAUUACCAGCUGAUUACAUUUGGAAAGGUAAACUACAUUUUCUCAUACAUUAGAGAGAUGAUCCUACUUAAGUGAAACCCUGUUAUGACUGGAAAGGAAACUAAAAUCAAUUCAUGCAGGUUUUCUGUACUAAAAAACAACCAAAUUGCAAUGCAUGCCCGAUGAGAGGGGAAUGCAAACACUUUGCAAGUGCCUUUGCAAGGUAUGAUAAAUUAAGAUUUCUUGCAGUUAUUCAUACAAAAGGGUGGACUAUUGUUAUGCACCACACCGUCACUCAGACACAGAAAAAUUGUGAAGCUAAAAGACAACAUUACGUAGUUCAUAAAUCCAGUAUUAUCAUGCUCAAUGCCUCACUGUAUAGACCACACUUAGUAUAUUUUAUCUAUAAAAUGAAGAAAAAAAAAUUGUUGUCAGUACCACUUUCAAGAUUAAAUGCAUGCAUCGCAUGAUAUGAAUUAUGAUAAACUAACUUACAAGUAAACAAUGUUAAAUAUUGCAGUGCAAGACUUGCCCUGCCAGGACCAGAGGAGAAGAGAAUAGUAAUCCCGUCCGGAAACAAUGCAAACGAGCAGAACCCACCACUAGUUAUCAAUCAACCGCUCUUGUUUCUCCCUGGGAACACUAUUCAAGACGAACUUCAACAAACAAAAGUGAUCACACAACCUAUUGUAGAAAUGCCAGCAUCUCCAGAGCCCGAAUGCUCCCAACCGUCAGAAAUUAUGGAUAUAGAGGACGCCUUCAA
rnacentral:lncRNA from 1 species